rnacentral:rRNA from 1 species
AUUGAACGCUGGCGGCAGGCUUAACACAUGCAAGUCGAGCGGGGUGAUGGUGCUUGCACUAUCACUUAGCGGCGGACGGGUGAGUAAUGCUUAGGAAUCUGCCUAUUAGUGGGGGACAACAUCUCGAAAGGGAUGCUAAUACCGCAUACGUCCUACGGGAGAAAGCAGGGGAUCACUUGUGACCUUGCGCUAAUAGAUGAGCCUAAGUCGGAUUAGCUAGUUGGUGGGGUAAAGGCCUACCAAGGCGACGAUCUGUAGCGGGUCUGAGAGGAUGAUCCGCCACACGGGGACUGAGACACGGCCCAGCCUCCUACGGGAGGCAGCAGUGGGGAAUAUUGGACAAGGGGGGGAACCCUGAUCCAGCCAUGCCGCGUGUGUGAAGAAGGCCUUAUGGUUGUAAAGCACUUUAAGCGAGGAGGAGGCUCUUUUGGUUAAUACCCAAGAUGAGUGGACGUUACUCGCAGAAUAAGCACCGGCUAACUCUGUGCCAGCAGCCGCCGUAA